UUGAGACACAGCCAUGUUCUGAUUCUUUGGUCACCAGGCAACCUACUCCCCAUUGUGAUCCUGUCUCCCCAAGGGCUCUGCCAACCAGGGAAACAACAUUCACUGCUCCUACAAGCGUUAGCCGCUUGAUAAUGCUUGGUGGAUUAAUGACCCAUGAUCAGGACAAAUCUCCUAUUUCGGAUUACUAUAACGUGACAGGAUCCUGCUUAUGUGCUGUUUUGAGUAGCCUGAAAUAGUCUCGUGGGACCUGGCUACUCCUGAACAGCAGUUAAAAUGGCAAAGAUGCGCCUUCAGCUGGACCCUGGAUCUAAGACCCGGGAGCCGGCCUCGCUCCCAGCAGUCUGUGCGAACAGGGCGCACCACUUCCUGUUAAACUUCUCCGAGCCGAUAAGAAGCUACCAGUAAAUUAACUGAACAAGGUCUCCGUCUGCGGCGCUCUGGGCCCUGGAAGGGAUUCCUUCGAGGAAUUUACCAAACAACCUCAGGACUGCAGUUGGGUUCUACCGAAGAGAGGAGUCACAUCAGAGAAGAAGGGAAGAUGAAAUGGAGUCCUUUACUCCCGUCAUCCCUGCAGGAUAUACAGAUAUCUGCUGAGUUUACUGAUGAAGCAUCCCUACUGUGAACAUGCAGUGUCCGCUGAACGCUGAAACUUUCAAGUGUGUGGAGCUUUCCAACUUCGAUUUACUUCUGUACGGUGGAGCCCAGAGUGCACCCUCUCUCGGGGACUAAAACGGCGCUUGACAAUUGAAAGGACAGUUUUGUGGAGCAAGGCUGCAAAAAUUUCUCAGUCCAUUGCAGGAAAGUUCCAUGCUGCCAAAUGGUCAGGAAAGUUUAAUUUUGUCCACAAAAGAGACGGAGAAGCCGUAACAAAGCCAAGAAACUAAGGUGCCACAUGAAGGCGGCAGACGUGAACAACCACAGAAACCAUUAUUUCCCUGGGCUUACGUAGAAAGACAAGCCAAGAGUCGCAUGGAGGCACACACAAAACCAGCCUCGAUGCUGCUUUGAAGACAUCUUUUAAAUGAACUGUCUUGGUGUCCUACAGUUCAUCAAAGGUUUCCUGUCUCUGAAAGGUCAGCCUUGUAUCCCUUACCCUUUCUGAAUCUCAGAAUCUCUUUUCAGCUCUUCAUUUCCAAAAGGUGAGCAGGUGUCUCUCAGGCCUAACAAUCACGACUGCACAGUUCACGGAUUCUUAAGGUAAGU